rnacentral:lncRNA from 1 species
UCUGCCAUGUGAGUGAGUUAAAUUAGUCUGUGGAAGGGUCUGGUACAUGCCAGAGGAGGUCCCAGGCAAGCCCGUGAGCAUUUGGAUGGGAAAUGGGGAGCGAGUGACCCUUGUAUUAUGGCAUGUUAACUUCAGCUCUUUGUGAACUGCUUGCAGAUCUGUAGAAGGUAGAAUUCUGUAUUACGGCCUUCUCCAAGUCAUCAUCAACCUACACACCUGACUUACUGUGUGGCCCAGCUCAAUGGGGUUGUCCUGACUGGGAUCAUAAGCCCGGAGUGGAAUUUCAGCCCUUCACGGCCAGCCCAGCCACAGCGAAUGGAGUGGAUGCUAACCUGUCUUUGGCCAUAAGUGGAAGCAUUCCCUGAAGGAGGGAAGGCUGCAGAUCCACGAUUCACAGAAGGUAACCUAGAUGGAGAUCAUGGAGUUUGAUGGAUCAGCUUUCUCACCUUUUCGUUCAUGAGUAUUGCUCCAAAACUUCCAGAAAGCAAGCACUUAGACCUUAGUCUAGCAAAGCACUGAAGUGAUGCCUUCAAAGACAAUGUCACUGCACCUAGAGUUCCGCUGACGAGCUGAGGCCCUAAUUCAUGGCAGGAGUCAUCCACAGAUGUCUGUUUUGGCAUAAAUGCAUGUAUUAUGGUUUGCUACACUUGAGUUUU